UGUAUUUAUUAGAUUAAAAACCAAUGCCCUUCGGGGCUCCUUGGUGAUUCAUAAUAACUUAACGAAUCGCAUGGCCUUGUGCCGGCGAUGGUUCAUUCAAAUUUCUGCCCUAUCAACUUUCGAUGGUAGUAUAUGGGACUACCAUGGUUUCAACGGGUAACGGGGAAUUAGGGUUCUAUUCCGGAGAGGGAGCCUGAGAAACGGCUACCACAUCCAAGGAAGGCAGCAGGCGCGCAAAUUACCCAAUCCCGGCACGGGGAGGUAGUGACAAUAAAUACUGAUACAGGGCUCUUUUGGGUCUUGUAAUUGGAAUGAGUACAAUUUAAAUCCCUUAACGAGGAACAAUUGGAGGGCAAGUCUGGUGCCAGCAGCCGCGGUAAUACCAGCUCCAAUAGCGUAUAUUAAAGUUGUUGCAGUUAAAAAGCUCGUAGUUGAACCUUGGGCCUGGCUGGCCGGUCCGCCUCACCGCGUGCACUGGUCCGGCCGGGUCUUUCCUCCUGGGGAGCCGCAUGCCCUUCACUGGGUGUGUCGGGGAACCAGG
rnacentral:rRNA from 1 species